GCAGACAUGGUUCAUUGGUAGAAUGCUAGCUUCCCAAGCUGGAGAGGCGGGUUCGAUUCCCGUUGUCUGCU
rnacentral:tRNA from 1 species